GCCUCAUCAACUACGAUAUACAUAUAUAGCUUGACAAAUGAAUCUUAGUAUUUCACAUCAAGUAUUCAUAUACACAUGAUUAGACUUUGACCGUCAACGGAGUGACUCUGGGUACGGUUGCUAACAUUUAGUGUCAUGUUAAACCUGCCGAGCAACGGAUAGGGAUGAGCACUUCGUCCUAGGAUCCAAUAACCUUUAACUUAGAAAACCUAAAACAUGAAGUUCAAAAACGUGAGUACAAACCCAGUGAGUGAACAUCAGAAGGGAACAAGCAACGUUAAGGAAAGUUUAGAAAUCAUGAUGCACUUAUUUAAAAACAAUGCAAUUUAGUUUAAGUUUUUGUUAAAACCCCUCAAUUAAACCCUUGGUUAUCAAAUCAUUUAACGAUGAAGGAUCCAUGCUCAACAUGAAAUUUGAAAGAGUGAAAAUUUCAGCAAAUAUCUAAACAAGGCAACAUAAUAGACUGAUUCUCACUGCAGCGGAAAGCCAUACGCGAAUUUCUCACUGUAGUGAGAAUGGAUCCUCGCUGCAGCGAGAUUUAGGGCUGAUAAGGUUAAAAGGGUUUUCAUAUGUCACAAAGAUCCAUUCCUGCAACAUUGAACACCAAGUUGCACACACAUUGAUAAUAACCAAACUUUCACAAAAUUCAAUACAAUCCCAUGUUAUUUUUAUAACUUUUUCCAUAACAUAUAUAAACAAUUUCAUAGCAUAUAUGAUCAUCACUAUGGCAUAGAUAUAUACAAGCAUGUAUACACCCAACGGUCCUCAGCCUAUGUGUCCCCCCACAUCGUACAUAGCUGGAUAUAGACCAUCACCAGUCCUCAGCCCAUGUGUCCUCCCACAUCGGACACAGCUGGAAUCAUCACCCAUCGGUCAUCAGCUUAUGUGUCUCCCCACAUCGCACAUAGCUGGAAUCACCACCAUCAGUAACGGUAUGUGCCCUCCCCACCACACACACUCGGUUAUAACCAUCACACAAUAUUAUUUAUCAAUGCACAAUAUAUGUUCAUAUAUAUAUAUAUAUAUACCAACAUAAUAUAGGAGCACAUGGAUUCAUCUUUUUUACACAUUUCACCAUUUCACAACAUCAAAACAUUUUAUUAAGGGCUUGUUCCCAAGCACCCAUUUUUAAUGAAAAGUUGGAUAAAAUCAUUCAAAUGUUCAUCCAAAUACAUUUACAUUUCCCAAAACCAUUUUGAAAUGCAAGUUCACUCAUCGGUCUUUGUUAACGUUUUGAUGGACACUAACUUCGACUAAUGUGCCGAAUGGAGGUGUAGGGUUUCAUUGAAACCUAUCACACACAACAACAUCACAAUCAACCUAACUUGGCAUUAAUACCAUUCUAAAAGCUAUAUCCUAGAUCAAGUUCCAUUAGUCAUUUUUAACUAGCUUCCAACUACUAUUAAAUGGCUAUUAUAUGCACUACUUUAGUCUCACUAAAAUGAAUAAUCAACCUCAACAAUAAAAUACUCACAAAUAUAAUUACUAGAUAUCAUCAACCACUAAAGAGAUUAACCUUAACCCAUACUCACCUUGGUGGUCUUUGUAAUUGAAUUCUCUUUAAAGAUUCUUCAAGCUAGUAAGGGAAAUCACUCACUUUCUCUCUCCACCCAUCCAGCGAGUGAGAGAAAGUAUGGUAGUAAGACUUUUAAGGGUUUUUAAGGUGAAGGAGUAAAAGAGUAUGAAAAACCCUAUAACAGGGUGUGUAAAGCAUGAAAUUUGAGGGUAGUUUGAGAGAGCGAUGGAAGCUUUGAGAGAAGUUUUCAUGGAAGAUGAGAGAAAGGUG
rnacentral:lncRNA from 1 species